rnacentral:lncRNA from 1 species
UUGAUUUGAGCAGUUAAUGAAGAUUAUAAAGAUGAUUUUUUUUCCCACAAAAAUGUUGAAAAAUUGAGGGGAUCAUCGGAAGUGAUUGUCAGCAAUAAGUUGCCACAUACUGCUUUAAAUAUCACAAAAAAGAAUGAGAUUACUAAAGAAAACUUGGAUGGGAUAAUGAGAAUGGCUCAUUUUGUAGGUUCUGUUAACCUAGAUUAGUGCUAAAAGGUUUGUUUGUGGUAAGCUUUUGUAAUGAGGUCAAUUUCACUGAAGUCCGCGUAUUCUGUAUCGAGAUCAAUGAUUCCCUAUUCUAGGGGUUGGUGGCCUGUGGACUCCCUAUCUUGGUCCCCCGGGUUUGUUCACUGCCCACACCAUACUUAAGUAAUUGUCAACAACAAGGUGCCACAUACUGCUUUACGUAUCAUGAGAAGGAAUGAGGUUACUAAAGAAAACUUGGAUGGGAUGGUGAGAUGGCUCGUGCAUUGACUUUUAUUUUUGUAGGUCCUGUAAAGAUAACCUAGAUUAGUGCUGAAAGGUUGGUUUGUGGUAAGCUUUUGUAAUGAGGUCAAUUUCACCAAAGUCUACUUAUUCUGUGUUGAGAUCAAUGAAUCCCUAUUCUAGGGGUUGGCAACCUAUUCACUCCCUGUCUUGGUCUCCCAUAGGUUCGUCCGCUGCCCACAUCAUACUGAAAUUCAGAUUCCCUGCUCGCCAUUAUUUGUUGUGCUUAAUUCAAAAAUUAGGAGCUUAUGGUUGAGAGUUGUUGGAGGAAGUUGUUAACUUACUAAAAGAAGAGAGCAAGUAGGAUGAGUAUGAGAGUUGCAUUUUUCAUUAAUAUGCUGAAUCACAUGACAUCAUUUUCAUACAUUCAUUGUCAGUUAACAUGCAAAAUCACAAAAUAUUAUUACUUUAACUGCAAACCGAAACACCAAACUAAUCGAUUUUUGUGAUCCUAGAUUGUCAUUUUUCUAUGAACUUUAAAUAAUACGAUUAUUCUUUGCAACAAAACGAUGAUUUUGUCAAUGCUUCCGGUCUGAUUCUCAAUCCACUAACUAUGGCACUCAUAUCCAAUGCUCCUUGGAAUGUUAGCUGUAUAUUUACCCCUCUUUUUGGUGGAUGGCAAUGGAAGUAAUCAAGUAGGUGCCAUAAGGGUGGAAUCAGACUCCCCUAUCACUCCAGCUUAUAGAAGAGGGAUUGCUAGGGGUGCAAACUGUUGGCACACACACUAAGCCUGCACUUUAUCUUCACGAUGAGGUAAUGGCAAUUGAAUUUGAACACCACCUUCUGCCACUGAUAGUUCAUUGUAUGAAGCUUACAUUUCUUGCUUCUAGGUUAUGGUGGAGUUGGUCCCUCCCACCAUUCAAUUUUUUAUCUACUUAAUCUCUAAAGCUAUACCAAUUAGUGUCAGUUUCCAAACUAGAUUGUCUCUCUCCACGGCUUAAAUUAAGGUUGCUGCAAGAUGUAUAGUUUUAUGUGCCUUUCUGGAAUGAGUUUAAGGAACAACUUUCCGCUUUUACUAAUGCCAAGCUUUUCUGAAUCUGCAUCAUGAAAAGAAUAGGGGCCUUGAAAGCAGCACCAAAUCACAGUUUAGUUGCUUCCAUGACCCACCAAUCACUCUUCGAGAUCUGUAAAUAAUACAGCAUAUAUGAAUUCUGGGGUCUACUACUAAUUCCCUUGCAAAAGUUUCAGGAUCAGUGGAGGAAAUGAUGAAAAAGUAUAUUCCUAAGGCCUACUAACUUUAGCCUUGAUAGGGAUGUGAGGAGGGAUGAAUUCAUGGGUUUUUCCUUUUCACAGUUUAACCAUGACCAAGAAUCCCCUCAUUUAGGUGUUGGUCUUUUUUAUUAGUUCAUGGUGUUCUUGAAUUGACGCAUGGCUUGUGACGCAAUGAUCCUCUGUAGACUUUCAAGUGUUUAUAGUGACUGUUUAUUUUGCACUUUUUUAUAUUGAGUAAUGAAAUUCAUUGCAUUUGAUGUAAAGACAGACUUUUCUAUGUAAAGAUUACAAAAAGGGAUUAAGAGGUGUGAAACUAUUUAUCUUUAAGUAAUAGUUUCAUAUUUUAUCUUUUAUAUUUUUAAAGAAUAGGAUGAACGCAUAAUUUGCAUAGAGAAAUUAAGUAGCAGCUGAUGAAUGUAUACCUACGAGGGCUCUUUGUGUGAUGCAAGAGAUCUGCAAGCUAUGAAAGUGUUUUAAAAUUGCAAGCUUUAGCAAUUUUAGAUGAGGCAAAUUGUUGUAGAUUGGCUAGAAAAGUAAGGAGAUAAAGGAGAGAAUAAGCUGAUGGACUGGGACAGAUGAGUUCACGAAGAAGGUAGCUGUGGAUAUCACAUUAGUUUAGGAAGAAAGGAGUUGUACAACUGAGUAUGCCAAGGAGAUAAGGA